AUGCAGUCGAGCGGACAGAAAGGGAGCUUGCUCCCGGAUGUUAGCGGCGGACGGGUGAGUAACACGUGGGUAACCUGCCUGUAAGACUGGGAUAACUCCGGGAAACCGGAGCUAAUACCGGAUAGUUCCUUGAACCGCAUGGUUCAAGGAUGAAAGACGGUUUCGGUUGUCACUUACAGAUGGACCCGCGGCGCAUUAGCUAGUUGGUGAGGUAACGGCUCACCAAGGCGACGAUGCGUAGCCGACCUGAGAGGGUGAUCGGCCACACUGGGACUGAGACACGGCCCAAACUCCUACGGGAGGCAGCAGUAGGGAAUCUUCCGCAAUGGACGAAAGUCUGACGGAGCAACGCCGCGUGAGUGAUGAAGGUUUUCGGAUCGAAAAGCUCUGUUGUUAGGGAAGAACAAGUGCAAGAGUAACUGCUUGCACCUUGACGGUACCUAACCAGAAAGCCACGGUUAACUACGUGCCAGCAGCCGCGGUAAUACGUAGGUGGCAAGCGUUGUCCGAAAUUAUUGGGCGUAAAGGGCUCGCAGGCGGUUUCUUAAGUCUGAUGUGAAAGCCCCCGGCUCAACCGGGGAGGGUCAUUGGAAACUGGGAAACUUGAGUGCAGAAGAGGAGAGUGGAAUUCCACGUGUAGCGGUGAAAUGCGUAGAGAUGUGGAGGAACACCAGUGGCGAAGGCGACUCUCUGGUCUGUAUCUGACGCUGAGGAGCGAAAGCGUGGAGAGCGAACAGGAUUACAUACCCUGUUAGUCCACGCCGUACACGAUGAGUGCUAAGUGUUAGGGGGUUUUCC
rnacentral:rRNA from 1 species